UACGGAGGGUGCGAGCGUUGUCCGGAAUUACUGGGCGUAAAGGGCGCGUAGGCGGUUCGCUAAGUUGCUGGUGAAAUCCCGGGGCUCAACCCCGGGGCUGCCGGUAAGACUGGCGGGCUCGAGCACGGUAGAGGCAGAUGGAAUUCCCGGUGUAGCGGUGGAAUGCGUAGAUAUCGGGAAGAAUACCGGUGGCGAAGGCGUUCUGCUGGGCCGUUGCUGACGCUGAGGCGCGACAGCGUGGGGAGCAAACAGG
rnacentral:rRNA from 1 species